rnacentral:RNase_P_RNA from 1 species
AUCGCUGCCGUUCGGCAGAGGAAAGUCCGGACUCCACAGGGCGGGGGUUUCGCCUGUAAUGGGCGGAGGGCACGGGGAAAGCCCGUGCGACGGAAAGCGCCACAGAGAACAGACAGCCCCGAAAGGGGUGAUGGUGAAAUGGCGGGGUAAGAGCCCACCGGCGCGCCAUAACCGGCGCGUGCGCGGCAAGCCCACCUCGGAGCAAGAUCAAAUAGGGAAUCGACGGGCGGCCCGUCCGGCGAGACGCCGCAAGGCGACUCUUCAGGUUCCGGGUUGAUUGCUCAGAUGAAUGAUCGGAUAGAACAGAAUCCGGCUUACUCGCUGUGU